rnacentral:rRNA from 1 species
GACGAACGCUGGCGGCGUGCUUAACACAUGCAAGUCGAACGGAAAGGCCCUGCUUUUGUGGGGUGCUCGAGUGGCGAACGGGUGAGUAACACGUGAGUAACCUGCCCUUGACUUUGGGAUAACUUCAGGAAACUGGGGCUAAUACCGGAUAGGAGCUCCUGCUGCAUGGUGGGGGUUGGAAAGUUUCGGCGGUUGGGGAUGGGCUCGCGGCUUAUCAGCUUGUUGGUGGGGUAGUGGCUUACCAAGGCUUUGACGGGUAGCCGGCCUGAGAGGGUGACCGGCCACAUUGGGACUGAGAUACGGCCCAGACUCCUACGGGAGGCAGCAGUGGGGAAUAUUGCACAAUGGGCGGAAGCCUGAUGCAGCAACGCCGCGUGCGGGAUGACGGCCUUCGGGUUGUAAACCGCUUUCGCCUGUGACGAAGCGUGAGUGACGGUAAUGGGUAAAGAAGCACCGGCUAACUACGUGCCAGCGGCCGCGGUGAUACGUAGGGUGCGAGCGUUGUCCGGAUUUAUUGGGCGUAAAGGGCUCGUAGGUGGUUGAUCGCGUCGGAAGUGUAAUCUUGGGGCUUAACCCUGAGCGUGCUUUCGAUACGGGUUGACUUGAGGAAGGUAGGGGAGAAUGGAAUUCCUGGUGGAGCGGUGGAAUGCGCAGAUAUCAGGAGGAACACCAGUGGCGAAGGCGGUUCUCUGGGCCUUUCCUGACGCUGAGGAGCGAAAGCGUGGGGAGCGAACAGGCUUAGAUUCCCUGGUAGUCCACGCUGUAAACGGUGGGUACUAGGUGUGGGGUCCAUUCCACGGGUUCCGUGCCGUAGCUAACGCUUUAAGUACCCCGCCUGGGGAGUACGGCCGCAAGGCUAAAACUCAAAGGAAUUGACGGGGCCCCGCACAAGCGGCGGAGCAUGCGGAUUAAUUCGAUGCAACGCGUAGAACCUUACCUGGGUUUGACAUGGAUCGGGAGUGCUCAGAGAUGGGUGUGCCUCUUUUGGGGUCGGUUCACAGGUGGUGCAUGGCUGUCGUCAGCUCGUGUCGUGAGAUGUUGGGUUAAGUCCCGCAACGAGCGCAACCCUUGUUCACUGUUGCCAGCACGUUAUGGUGGGGACUCAGUGGAGACCGCCGGGGUCAACUCGGAGGAAGGUGGGGAUGACGUCAAGUCAUCAUGCCCCUUAUGUCCAGGGCUCCACGCAUGCUACAAUGGCUGGUACAGAGAGUGGCGAGCCUGUGAGGGUGAGCGAAUCUCGGAAAGUCGGUCUCAGUUCGGAUUGGGGUCUGCAACUCGACCUCAUGAAGUCGGAGUCGCUAGUAAUCGCAGAUCAGCAACGCUGCGGUGAAUACGUUCCCGGGGCU